CGGGCCGGGCCGGCGGCGGGGGCUGGGGCCGGAUUCCACCGAGGGGACCGGAGGGGAGGGGGCGCGGAGAGGGAGGAGCCGAGUGGCGCAGAGGGUCGGGCUGCAGGAGCUGCGGGGCAGAUGGAAGAAGUUUGGGGAAGGGGCGGGUCCGAGUGCAUUCCUCGCCGGCCCGCGUGUCCUGAAGGCCGGGACGUUGGAGCCGGAGCGGCGUCGGUGCUGCCCCCGGCUGCUUGUCCUUGGGAGUGUGGCUCGCGGAUCUGGGUGACCCCUCGGUCAGGCUGGGACCUAGGGACUUGAAUGUUGGCAAGUGGACUUGGUCACCUAACACUGAGCCCUCGAACAUGCUUUUCCAACUCGAGACUUGGUUUAUAAGGUGUGUGCUUCUGAAAUAUCUGUGAAACACCUUUCGUACACCCAGCCUCUUUCUCUACUCUUGCUAAGACAGCUUUUUUUUUUUUUUUGAAGGUUAGGUAUCUGAGAGAUUAUUCCACUAAUUAACACUUUCUUCUUUCAACUUCAGCAUAUGUCCCUGGAAUUGCUGUCCUUUUACCCACCCCUCUGUCCCUAAACCUAGUUUCUGCACCUGUUUAGUUCGUGUCAGACAGAUGACAGCACCUAACCAUCUGUUGGGGUAUUGAGAGGGCGUGCGGAGCUGCAAACGUGGGUGUUGCCAUUAAAAUAGAGUAUGUGAAUAUUUUCUUAAAGCUCAUAAUUAACCAGCCGGGAAAAUAAUCUACAUGACUUUGCAUUUGCCCUGUUUAGAAAAUAGUUCUAGAGUGGUCCGGGAGGUGGUGCAGUGAUGAGGCUUUGGACUCUCAAGCAUGAGGUCCUGAGUUCGAUCCCUGGCAGCACAUGUGCCAGAGUGAUGUCUGGUUCUUUCUCUCUCCUCCUAUCUUCUCAUGAAUAAAUAAAAUCUUUAAAAAGAAAGAAAGAAAGGAAGAAAGAAAGAAAUAGUUCUAGAGUCAAUGUUUUGUUUUAUUAUAAUACAGGUUAAAAGAAAAAAAAAAUGCUUGACAUGUCAUUUUCUCCAAGACAGUACCAUCAAUUAACAAUUCCUUAGUCAUAGCUUCUAUCAGAAGUAUAAAUUCCCCACCUGAAGAUUUUGGAAAGAAAUCAACAGUAACGUUUUUAAGAAUGUGAGAGAAACAUCAUUUUUUUUUUUUAACUUAUUUGUCACCUAAAAAUGACUAGACUUAAAAACAAAAACAAGCCUUGAGGCAAAUCUUCAGAUAUGCCAAGAUUUCUCAACCUGAAAAAAUACUGCCAUCUACUGGAAGAGUUUAGUCCUUACUGUCAUCUGCACUAGAGAUAGUAGCAAAUUUUUGAGAGUAUCUUUAAGGUUAAUAUUAUUAUUUUAAUAUUUUGGGCAGAGCACUGAUCAGCAUUGACUUAUUAUGAUGCUGGAUUUUGAAUCUAGAAUCUCUGGUAUUUGAGGCAUGACAGUCUAUUGUGUAAUCAGCUAUGCUAUCUCCUCAGCCUGAAGUAUUUAUGAAAUACAAAAAUGGGCAUAACAUAAGUUACCAGUACCCCUUGCUUUUGUGAAUUAAUAAUACUUGUUAUUUUCUUUUUCCUCUGUGCCUUUGCCUUGAUUGGAAAGGGAAUGGAGGGCUGGAGAGACAGGAUGAGGGUUAUGCAAGAGACUUUUUUUUUCUGCCUCCAGGGUUAUCGCUUGGGCUGAGGGCCUGCACUAAGAAUCCACUGCUCCUGGAGGCCGUUUUUACCAUUUUUUUGCCCUUGUUAUUUAUUGUUAUUAUUAUUGUUGUUGUUGGAUAGGACAGAGAGAAAUCAAGAGGGUGGGAAGACAGAGAAGGGGAGAGAAAGACACCUGUAGAUCUGCUUUACCGUUUGUGAAGCAACCCCCCUGCAGGUGAGGAGUUGGGGGCUGGAACCAGAAUGCUUAUGUAGGUCCUUAGGCUUUGUGCCAUGUGCACUUAACCCACUGCACUACCGCCCGACCCCCCCAAGAGACUUUUAUGCCUGAGGCUCUGAUAUCGUAUAAGUUCAAACCCCCACAUCAUAAGCCAAGCUGUGAAGUGCUCUAUAAAAGAGAGAGAGAAAUAAAGGAAG